AGCAGCCGCGGUAAUUCCAGCUCCAAUAGCGUAUAUUAAAGUUGUUGCAGUUAAAAAGCUCGUAGUUGAAUUUCGGGAUCGAUACGUCGGUCGUGCCUUUGGUACGUACUGUCGUCAUCGAUUUCUCCCUUCUGACGAACCAUGAUGUCAUUAAUUUGGUGUUAUGGGAAAUCAGGACUGUUACUUUGAAAAAAUUAGAGUGUUUAAAGCAGGCAUUAGCUUGAAUACAUUAGCAUGGAAUAAUGAAAUAGGACGUUCGAACCUAUUUUGUUGGUUUUUAGGAUCAACGUAAUGAUUAAUAGGGAUAGUUGGGGGCAUUAGUAUUCAAUUGUCAGAGGUGAAAUUCUUGGAUUUAUUGAAGACUAACUACUGCGAAAGCAUUUGCCAAGGAUGUUUUCAUUAAUCAAGAACGAAAGUUAGGGGAUCGAAGACGAUCAGAUACCGUCGUAGUCUUAACCAUAAACUAUGCCGACUAGGGAUCGGAUGAUGUUAAUUUUUUAAUGACUCAUUCGGCGCCUUACG
rnacentral:rRNA from 1 species